rnacentral:lncRNA from 1 species
CCACGUUCUACUCCAUAUUUGUAUACUCCGACGUGCUGUUUGGAAUAUUGCAGAACAGGGAGUUUGACAUGCAGUUCUGCUUGCCCAGGGUGGACGGCUUCUGCAACACCACAGAGAGGGAGAAAAAGGAAAACUCAAUUCCAUCUAUGAGAACACUGAGUGAGACCAGAGUUCCAAAAGAGGAGACGUUCGCAGGCAGUACCAACAGCUACACAGUGUGAUCAACCACAUUGUCACUCAGCAAACAGGUUCAAUGACCAUGAAAAGCUCAUGUUCCUUUCCCUCCUUGACCCACAAAAGUUCCUAUAUAUAUGGAAACGACAAACUUUCCAAAUGCUGCGUUCUCAAGUCUCGAGGAAAGCUAUGGCUCUAAUUUUGAUUUGCCGCUGCUUAAAACAGAACUCACCGUUAUGUACUCAAUGUCUGACUUCAAGGGUAAGAGCGCGGCUGAUCUGCUCCACUUUCUCCAGCAGAAGAGCCAAAUUGAUGGUAUGCACCAAUUGCAUCUGCUUUCCUGUCUAGUUUUGACCAUUCCAGUGUCCACUGCAUCAGAAAGAACAUUUUUCUGCACUAAAAAGGAUCAAGACAUAUUCCAGGAACACCACUGGACUGUCAGUCCUGGCUUUAAUCUCAAUCAAAAAAUAACUUCUUAUGGAUUUAAAAUCAAAAGACAAGCUAUAUAAACCUGACAUUGCCCAUUUCAUAAUGAAGGACAGGAGAAUGGACUUCGUUUUUAAAUGAUAAUCAUAAUGGACCUGAGCCCUAGGACCAUGCCUCAGCACUAACUGGCCUGAUGACUCCUUGCUGUCCCCAGUCCACCUGGCCGUGCUGCUGCUCCAGUUUCAACUAUUCUGCCUGCGGCUGUGGAACCCUGACCUGUUCACCGGACGUGCUACCUGUCCCAGACCUGCUACCUGUCCCAGACCUACUGUUUUCAACUCUCUAGAGACAGCAGGAGCAGUAGAGAUACUCUGAAUGAUCGGCUAUGAAAAGCCAACUGACAUUUACUCCUGAGGUGCUGAACUGUUGCACCCUCGACAACCACUGUGAUUAUUAUUACUUGACCCUGCUGGUCAUCUCUGAACAUUUGAACAUCUUGGCCAUGGUCUGUUAUAAUCUCCACCCGGCACAGCCAGAAGAGGACUGGCCACCCCUCAUAGCCUGGUUCCUCUCUAGGUUUCUUCCUAGGUUCUGGCCUUUCUAGGGUGUUUUUCCUAGCCACCGUGCUUCUACACCUGCAUUGCUUGCUGUUUGGGGUUUUAGGCUGGGUUUCUGUAGAGCACUUUGUGACAUCAGCUGAUGUGAUGUAAGAAGGGAUUUAUAAAUACAUUUGAUUGAUUGAUUGAUCUGCCUUUCUCUCCAGAGACAGAAAAAAGAAAACCAUUGAGUGGUGAGAGGGCCAGCGCGAACUUCAUACUUUUAAGAAAAUCAGACUUGGCAUUGAGUUCUCUGAGGAAAUGCUUGCAUCUGAAUGGAGGGAUACAUGCCUGUUUCUGAGAGGAAACAGAAGUGAUAAACUUCAUAGCAGAGUAGUUUACUCUGUCUUCUCCGGCCUGUCACUGUGUGUGGUCGGUCAGUCCACUGAGCCUGGAGCCAUUCUGUAUCUACAACGUGAACAUAAUCCAUCUCUCUCUUUGAGGGCAUGACAGCUCAUUCCUCCAAGGGGGGCAGACUGACUGGCUCUGUUCAUGAAUCGAUGAACUGUCAAUACCCCUGUCUCAGAGCCUCAGACCAUCUGCCCAUCUCUAGGAACUCUUUGGCUUAAUUGUUUGUAAUGUGGACUCUGCUUUUCCGACCUUGCUGACUGACACACACACACACACAGAGAGAGACAGAGAGACAGAGACAGAGAGAGAGAGAGAGAGAGAGAGAGAAAACAGUUGUCAGGCACUGUUUUAUCAAUCACCAAUAUCUCAGUCUCCCAGGAGCACAAAUGACUAGCCAUACAGACAGAUUGAAAUGUCUGUCACAUAGUUGGGAAGGACGGCUAAACUUUAAUUCCUUUUGAUGGAUGAAGGCCAGUGACAAGUGAGAGUGAACCCCUCCUCUAUUGAUAAAGUUUGGUUUGCUCAAGCGAUAGCAUAGCAGAGAUGAAUGAGGAGACUUCCAUUCCUUACUCUUCCCUAAUGUUGCAAUGCAUUAAAAUUAGAAACAAAUUUCAAUCAGAACUGACUACUACCAUUAAGUCAUUUUUGACAAGCAUCAUCAUGAUGGAUGAUGCUUGGUUUGUUCACUAAAAGUAAGCGCAAGGACAGCUCCUUGAGUGUGUGGGAGGAGAGGGUGAUAAGGGGUAGGGAUAUGUGUGUGUGUCUGAAGGGAGUGUGUGUG